rnacentral:rRNA from 1 species
CCUACGGGAGGCAGCAGUGGGGAAUUUUGGACAAUGGGCGCAAGCCUGAUCCAGCCAUUCCGCGUGCAGGAUGAAGGCCCUCGGGUUGUAAACUGCUUUUGUACAGAACGAAAAAGGCCUGGCUAAUAUCUGGGUCUCAUGACGGUACUGUAAGAAUAAGCACCGGCUAACUACGUGCCAGCAGCCGCGGUAAUACGUAGGGUGCGAGCGUUAAUCGGAAUUACUGGGCGUAAAGCGUGCGCAGGCGGUUUCGUAAGACCGAUGUGAAAUCCCCGGGCUCAACCUGGGAACUGCAUUGGUGACUGCGAAACUGGAGUGCGGCAGAGGGAGAUGGAAUUCCGCGUGUAGCAGUGAAAUGCGUAGAUAUGCGGAGGAACACCGAUGGCGAAGGCAGUCUCCUGGGC